rnacentral:tRNA from 1 species
GCAUCCAUGGUGCAGUGGCAUAGCACAUCCUGUCUUCAAGGAAGACCUACGUUCGAUUCGUAGUGGAACCA